GAGAGGUGGUCUGAGCGUGGCUGCGGCGGCGGGCGACGGCCACCGCAUCGUCGAGCGCACGCGCCGCCUCCUCGGUUAAGCAUUGCCUGGCUGUGCCGACCGGCGUUGGCAUCGCCGGCGAGCAUAAAUAUGUACACACAAGCAGCAGUCGCCCACGGAAACUCUUACGCGCCCUCCGCCCGUGACAACACAUCCCCCGUGGGGCAGAGCCGGCCGUGUUCAUGAAUGAUUGGGCCACGCGUUCCAAGUCCAGCAGCUCUGUCUAAGUUUUGUGGUCGGGAGAAAUAGUUGUCUGACACGUGUCCGAGUGCAUGAAGGUUAUAGUGAACCGCGUUGACGGUGAGGUUAUCGUCCCGCCCCGUCCCAGUAAGGCGUAAAGGUAUGUGAUUUGACCCUUCGUUUUGUUUUGAUCAUACUUUUUUUUUUUCUUCUUCUUUCGCCCUCCUUAUCUUUAUUUUUAUUUCAGAACAUAAAAGGACAAAAAAAAAUAUUUAUGUGAUCCACGAGUUGUUUAUAGUUUAUUGCAAGUUGAUUUAUAGCAUUUUUUAAAUAACAAUGGUCACAAUCAAGGAAAAAAAAUUAUUUUGCUAAUUUAAUUUUAGCGUGACAAUAUUUUGUUUGGAAAAAUAGUAAUAAAUUCAAUUUUGAGGGAUGACAAGCUGACACUGAGGGUAGGUAAGAAUAGUAAUUCAAUUUUAGCAUUUUUUUUUUCUUCUUUCAUCACUUGGGGGGGGGGGGGGAUCUCUUAAAGAGACUAAAUUUUUAUGAUAACAUUAUAAAUUGUUUUAUUAACAUAAACUCGGAUAAACAUACAAGAAAAGACGAUAAAACUCCAGACUUUAAAUUUACAAUAUAUACUAUUUACCACCACAUAAUAUUUAUUAUUUAAUAAAAACAAGAAGAGGCAGAGCAUGGACCAUCAUCUCAUCUAAUGUCAUGGCUCGCUCUCCCUUGUAAUGUUGGUCGAAUCGAAUGGUUAAUUGAGGCUUCAACGUUUAAGGGGUUCUUGGGAUUUUCAGCCAAACAAGCCGUAGCAAUCAUGCUGUGCGCUCAUCCUCUCGGGUGCCAGAAGGGCCACCAAACCCAAGAAAAGCUGUUCGUUCGUGACUGACUGUGACAGCUUAUUUUGGACCUGCAUUACGCCCACUUGCAUCGCCUUGGUGGACUCCACCUCACGGCGGCGCACUGGUGGCGUGGACCAGUGAUCUGUGGCCUGCGGGGUUGUGUGUGUUUUUACUGGCUGAAAUUAGGGAAUAAACGAAAAGGAGAAAACAGGUGAUAAUGGGUCUUUAUGCAAGUGAAGUGAGGCUCUCACUUUCUCCAAAAAGUGGCUUUUGCUUAAAUUGGUAUAUUACCCAUUGUUUCCACCUCGGUUGUAAGGUUCCAUUCCCUUUCUGAGCCAAACCAAAGCCCACAACCCAGUGCUUGGGACACUGCCUUGCCAGAGCCCUAUUUUUGGUUGGCUCAGUAGUGUCCUGCCAUUGCCCUAAUUUUGGAUAAUCUACAUAAAUGUAGAUGGCUAUACGUCCUGCCCUUACAGCAUUUGGGUCAAUUUGGUUUUUGUCACCAUUCUUAAAAGUCAAAAUCUUGCCUGUUCAACCCUAAAUCCUUCUAAUUAUUCUAUUUAGGUUUCUGGGUUUGAUUUGA